UGAGGANAAUCCCGGAUAGGCGAUGGACGCUGGAAUGCCUCANCNNNNNNAGCUCCGGCGCUCGAGGAUGAGACUGCGGCCUAUCAGGCUGUUGGUGGUGUAACGGACCACCAAACCUACGACGGGUAUGGGCAAUGGGAGUUGGAGCCCAGAGAUGGGGACUGAGACAAGGCCCCAGGCCCUACGGGGCGCAGCAGGCGCGAAAACUCCGCAAUGCGCGAAAGCGUGACGGGGGAACCCCAAGUGCCGUUGGUCUUUUGAUCGACGGCUUUUUGGAAGUCUAAGAAGCUUCCAGAAUAAGGGCUGGGCAAGUCUGGUGCCAGCCGCCGCGGUAGUACCAGCAGCCCAAGUGGUGGUCGCGUUUAUUGGGCCUAAAGCGCUCGUAGCCGGGUCUGUAAGUCCCUUGUGAAAUCGGACGGCUCAACCGUUCGGCGUGCAAGGGAGACUGCUAGCCUUGGAACCGGGAGAGGUCGGGGGUACUUCGGGGGUAGCGGUGAAAUGCUGUAAUCCCUGGGGGACCACCAGUGGCGAAGGCGCUCGACCAGAACGGAUUCGACGGUGAGGGGCGAAGGCUGGGGGAGCGAACGGNAUUAGAUACCCCGGUAGUCCCAGCUGUAAAGGAUGCGGGCUGGGUGUCAGGUGCCCUUCGAGAGCACCUGGUGCCGUAGGGAAGCCGUUAAGCCCGCCGCCUNGAAGUACGGUCGCAAGGCUGAAACUUAAAGAAAUUGGNGGGGGAGCACCACAAGGGGUGGGACCUGCGGUUUNANUNGGAGUCNACGCCGGG
rnacentral:rRNA from 1 species